ACAGAUAAGCGAAGGGCUGUGAUUCACAGAGGGGAUGACAGAGGGUUGCUGGGUCUGUAAUUGUCAGGAGGGGUUUUUGAGGCAGCUUUGGAGCUGGAGAUGUCCAAGAAGCAGCCCCUUAGGCCCCAUAAGAGGCAAGUCUCAAUUUGAACUCAAUGCUGAAAUGCACAGGGUAGAGCAGUUCUGGUGGGUGUCAUGACACUUGUUUCUUGUGCACUGUGUGUCUUUUGAGUGUGUUGUAUUACAUGUCCUGAGUCUAAGCCCUUUGAGGGGCAUAUAGGAAAUUCUGGGCUAAUUUUUAGCCUCCGCUUUCCUUGGCCUGGUGCCGGCCCAUGGGAGCGUGGGCUGGCAUGGUAAUCACAUCUCUGCUUGGAAGCAUCCAGUCUGCUGUCUUUGAAGCUCUUCUUCUGAACUGUAUUGACAGCUGUACACCACAAGGGUCCAUUCCAGAGGUUUAGGAUGUGGAAGAAUGUGAAGAUAGGGAGAGGAUUCUGACCAGAAAUUUCUCAGCCAUCCAUCUCUUCGGUUCUUGGGAUUAAUGCUUCUGCUAGCAACUUCUUCCAGCCUCAUCAUCUCCCCAUCAGUCUCCCCGCCGUCAUCCCAUCUUGCAUUCUCUCAGUCCUUGUGAUUCUUCUUCCUGCUGGGAGAUUUUUUUUUCUUUUUUCCCCUCCCCAUGUCCUCCCCUCGUUUGUCAUGUCCUGUGUCAUGGGUGCCUGCAUGCAUUUGGGUCUGUAGCUGCUCUGCCCUGCUGUGUAGUCUGGGUGUAGGUGUGCUAGGACCAGUCCUAGGGACUUGCUUUUAGUGAUGUGGGGUGGUGUUGGACUCUAGUUGAGAUCUGCAGAUUGAUCCCAGAUCUCUGGAGGGGUUAGGCUGUCCUGCAGCACUUGGACUUUUGCCCUGCCUCUGUUUCAGAUGCAGAUGGAUCCAAGUUGAGGACAAGGGCCCCCCCUGGAAAAUGAAGCUGGAUAUCAGCAGGGAAGGGGAAGCAGGCCAGGCAGUGCCCUUGAACUACCCUGAGAUGGCUCUGCCCAGCUGGCCAAGAGACCCAGUUCACUGCUCCUGUGAG